GGGCCGGUGGCGGAAUCGGCAGACGCCGAGGACUUAAAAUCCUCUGAGGCAGCCCCUCGUGAGAGUUCGAGUCUCUCCCGGCCCA
rnacentral:tRNA from 1 species